UUCCAAUCUCCCUGUUGGGUUAUUACCUGAGCAGCUUUCUGCUUUCCUUUUGUUCGAUGGCGCAAUACGAACAUUGCAGCUUUGAAGAAGCCGAAAACGCCUGGUGGCUUCGCCUUCUUCUUAUUCUGAUCGUCAUUUCUGUUGUCCUUGAUGGCGACCACGCCUUCCGUCAUUCUUUGAUAUUUAUUAAUUAAUUUGCCUUAGCCCUCCCUGCAAAAUGCAGGGUGAG
rnacentral:misc_RNA from 1 species